rnacentral:rRNA from 1 species
GACAGAGGGUGCAAACGUUGUUCGGAAUUACUGGGCGUAAAGGGCGCGUAGGCGGUUUGACAAGUCUGAUGUGAAAUCUAUGGGCUCAACCCAUAGCCUGCAUUAGAAACUGUCGGGCUCGAGUCCGGAAGAGGCGAGUGGAAUCCUGGUGUAGCGGUGAAAUGCGCAGAUAUCAGGAGGAACACCAAUGGCGAAGGCAGCUCGCUGGGACGGUACUGACGCUGAGACGCGAAAGCGUGGGGAGCAAACAGG